rnacentral:rRNA from 1 species
UACGAAGGGGGCUAGCGUUGCUCGGAAUCACUGGGCGUAAAGCGCACGUAGGCGGCUUUCUAAGUCAGGGGUGAAAUCCUGGAGCUCAACUCCAGAACUGCCUUUGAUACUGGAGAGCUCGAGUCCGGAAGAGGUGAGUGGAACUGCGAGUGUAGAGGUGAAAUUCGUAGAUAUUCGCAAGAACACCAGUGGCGAAGGCGGCUCACUGGUCCGGUACUGACGCUGAGGUGCGGAAAGCGUGGGGAGCAAACAGG